rnacentral:rRNA from 1 species
ACGCGAGCUGGGUUCAGAACGUCGUGAGACAGUUCGGUCCCUAUCCGUCGCAGGCGUAGGAAAUUUGAGAAGGCCUGUCCUUAGUACGAGAGGACCGGGAUGGACGUACCGCUGGUGUACCAGUUGUUCUGCCAAGGGCAUGGCUGGGUAGCUAUGUACGGAAUGGAUAAGCGCUGAAAGCAUCUAAGCGCGAAGCCAACUUCAAGAUAAGAUUUCCCACCGCAAGGGUAAGACCCCA